rnacentral:rRNA from 1 species
UACGGAGGGUGCAAGCGUUAUCCGGAUUCACUGGGUUUAAAGGGUGCGUAGGCGGGUUUUUAAGUCAGCGGUGAAAGCUCCGAGCUCAACUCGGAAAUUGCCGUUGAUACUAUUAAUCUUGAAUUUAGUUGAGGUGGGCGGAAUGUGUAGUGUAGCGGUGAAAUGCUUAGAUAUGACAUAGUACACCAAUUGCGAAGGCAGCUGGCUACACGAAUAUUGACACUGAGGCACGAAAGCGUGGGGAUCAAACAGG